rnacentral:lncRNA from 1 species
UGAUCUUUUAUGUAACCGAAGGAUGAAAGAAACUUCUCAAGAAAAUCAGCUGCACUCGUAGCAUCUUGGGUGACCACAGAUGUUUAUGGACGAGUCAGUGGAAAAGCUCUCAAGUCAUGUAGAGGCAAUUAAAUUACCUCGAAAUUUAUUGCUGGAUAGAGUGUUUUGGAGCCAUCCAUCCGCUGAGACUCUGCUUUGAGGUGAACUUGAAAUGCCCAAUACAGAUUCUGCAACAAGUCACGGUGUCCCUCUCUCUCCCAUGAACAGUUGUGACCGCUUGGUUGUGAACAAAUUUAACUUCACUGACCAGCCUGCGUAGUACCCUUCCCCUGAUCACUGUCACAGCAGAGCUCGUCCCAAUGGGAGUAAUUUAUAAACCUGUUGAAUGAAAUAAAUGAAAUGAAUGAUG